rnacentral:lncRNA from 1 species
GGGGGAAACAUUUUCUUUUCCAAAGGACACACGAGAAGAGCUCUCAGAACAGCACCACCCAGCAUCCCCACACCAACGCCUUGGUUUGGUACCUGGAUGGCCAAGCACUCCCAGCAGUCACACCUGACCUGGAAGGAGAGAAGCACAGCUGUGCUGCUGCACACAAGGACAAAGCCAUCCAGCCAGGCUGCAAGUACGAUCAUCCUCUCACAGGAGGGCCCAUCAGAUGCUCCAACACAUCACAAGCUGCUAUUAUUAAGAAAACAGUCGCCCAUGACGAAGAAGCUAACGAUGUUUCAAACCUCAUCCCAUGCCUCCUUCCUACCUGGGACCCACACGCAGCCCCCAGGCUGCUACCUGCCCCAGCCCCGUGCUCAGAACGGAGCCAUUGGUGCAGCCACAGCUCAUCCUUGGACACCUCUGACAAAACCCAAACGAGCGCCGACCACAAUAAAGGAAAGCCCAUACACACACACUGCAUCCAGGAAACGGCUUUUGCUUGAAGGAAAGAAACCACAUAACCAAAACCCUCCCCACCACACACUCCGCCCUCCGUCACAUCACAGGAAUAAAUCAAAUAGUUCAAACUCACUGAGCCCGACA